AGGUCAUGCUAGAAAGAGCACAGGGCGGAUGCCUUGGCACUAAGAGCCGAUGAAAGACGCGAUAAGCUGCGAAAAGCUUCGGGGAGGAGCAAAUAUCCUACGAUCCGGAGAUAUCUGAAUGGGGAAACCCGGCUGGAAAGACUCCAGUCACUGUAUGGUGAAUCCAUAGCCAUACAGAGGGAACCCGGUGAACUGAAACAUCUAAGUAGCCGGAGGAAAAGAAAGAAAACUCGAUUUCCAAAGUAGCGGCGAGCGAAAUGGAAGGAGCCUAAACCUGGGUGCGUGCACCCAGGGGUUAAGGACUGCAAUAAGUGACUUAGAGGUUAAUAGAAUGGUUUUGGGAAAGCCAGCCAGAGAGGGUGAAAGCCCCGUAAAUGAAAGCCAAAGAGAGCGAGCAGGAUCCAAAGUACCACGAGACACGAGAAACCUUGUGGGAAGUAGGGGGGACCACCCCCCAAGGCUAAAUACUACUUAGUGACCGAUAGCGCAUAGUACUGUGA
rnacentral:rRNA from 1 species